GAAACUUUUUGCAAAAUAUUCGUAGUCCCUGCUAAGGUGCUCAAGAACUUCUCUGCAGUCCUUACCUAAGCAGGGGCUGUGACAUUUGCAUUUCCACCAGCAGUGAAAAAGAGCUCCUGUUGCUCUGCAUCCUUGGCAACAUUUGGUGUUGACAGUGUUCUGGAUGAUGGCAUUUCUAAUAGGAUUUCAACCAAAUAAAAGCAUCUGCAUUCUGAGUUUAGACUGCUAACUAAGGUCCCAUAUAGGUAAGUUCUUACUUAACACUGCUAAGCUGCC